UGAGGGAUAUUGGGCAAUGGGGGAAACCCUGACCCAGCAAUGCCGCGUGAGGGAAGACGGUUUUCGGAUUGUAAACCUCUGUCCUCUGUGAAGAUGGUGACGGUAACAGAGGAGGAAGCUCCGGCUAACUACGUGCCAGCAGCCGCGGUAAUACGUAGGGAGCAAGCGUUGUCCGGAUUUACUGGGUGUAAAGGGUGCGUAGGCGGCUAUGCAAGUCAGAAGUGAAAUCCCCGGGCUCAACCUGGGAACUGCUUUUGAAACGGUCAUGCUUGAAUCAUGGAGAGGGUAGCGGAAUUCCGAGUGUAGAGGUGAAAUUCGUAGAUAUUCGGAAGAACACCGGUGGCGAAGGCGGCUACCUGGCCAUGUAUUGACGCUCAGGUGCGAAAGUGUGGGGAUCAAACA
rnacentral:rRNA from 1 species